ensembl:lncRNA
ACCAGGUGACUGUCUUGGUAAACUCUUGAGUGUGUGGGCAACUCUAAAAUUAAAAUGGAGAGGCAGGGUAUGUAAUUUUAUUGUGACAUUUCUAUUUUCCAGUUGUUAAGGCUACACAUGGUGUAGUCAGCAUUUGCUUUGGAGUACUCAUAUGUAAUAUAUUCCAGGAGGGCGUUGUGGCGGAGGCUUUGGCCCCGGAACUGGAAACAACCAAGGACAGAGCCAUGGCUUUGGCCCCGGACCUGGACCCUACCAAGGACAGAGCCAUGGCUUUGGCCCCGGACCCUACCAAGGACAGAGCCAUGGCUUUGGCCCCGGACCUGGACCCUACCAAGGACAGAGCCAUGGCUUUGGUCCCGGACCUGGACCCUACCAAGGACAGAGCCAUGGCUUUGGCCCCGGACCUGGACCCUACCAANNNNNNNNNNNNNNNNNNNNNNNNNNNNNNNNNNNNNNNNNNNNNNNNNNNNNNNNNNNNNNNNNNNNNNNNNNNNNNNNNNNNNNNNNNNNNNNNNNNNGGUCAUGGUCAUGGUCAUGGACAUGGGCACGGGCGCAGGUGCAAGCACAAGCAGGGUCACAAGCAUAAAGGAUGCCACAAGAAGGGCAAGGAUUGUCACGGGUCUUCCAGUAGUUCCUGCAGCAGUGACUCUGACUAGACUUCUGGAAACCAUCCUUCUUUAAAAGACACGUGUAACAAACAACGAGACUCUUUCUGGUUUGAGCAUCAAGUUUGACUAUCCUGAUAUAUCCUGAUUGCAUUUAACUCAAUUGCAUCUGGCUUCUGCUGCUUUUUCUGGAUUUAUACUGAGUCAUAAAAUAAAUGUUGAAAUAUAACAAUGACUGGUGCAAUGCUGUUUUUAUUUUUUUUGAAUGACACAUGACACUUUAGAUUACACUCCCUUCUCGUUGACUACAUUGUGGCAUUAUAAACAUGUCUGUUAAGACUUGUGCAUGAAACCUAAAAACUUGAUAAAACUGUGCCAUUUUGCUGUCUAGAAAGACAACUGAAAUGCAGAAUUUAUAGACUGAAGAUUUCUAUUGAAAACUGCAAUGAGAGGACAGAGGUUAACAGACAGUUUUAAUGUUUGGGGUUUGAAAGUAUGGCCAACGGAAUGUGUCUCAACAAUGUAAGAUAUUCCCAACCACAAUGUGGGUGUACUUGUUUUUGACGCCUUACCUUUCCUGGAACACGGGCCACUUUUAUUAUGAAAAGCUGCACAAAUGGGUUCAAAGACCAUUCUAAUCAUGAAUAAAAAGCAGCGUCUGUACACUGCAAAACCUGAACAUUAAAAAAGCAAAACGCUCCCUUUUUCAAGAAAAUGUGUCUUAUGUUGUGUCUUGCAAAAAAAUAAUCUUAUUGAGAAAGUUUUUAAUUGCAAAAUAUUCUUAGUUUGAAAAAGCAUGUCUUAAAAAAUAGAUUUUUUUCCCUCAAAAUAAAAAUUCUUGGUAUGACAAUUUUUCUUACUCUAUUGGCAUUUUUCUUUUUUACUAAAAUUUGCCAGUAAGGUUAGAAUGUUUUACCUUUUUUGAGAGACCUGUUUUCUGUUUUUGCAGUGUAUUACUGCUUAUAUUAAGGACUGAUGUGAGAAAAACAAUAUUAAAGUCAAUGUUAAAUGUGAAGUGAUAAGCUUUAAGUUUAGGCACGUACAUGUACUGAUCUUCUAAUAUGUGAGAAGUACAAACUCUUUGUCAAUUGUGUGCAAAUUGCAUCAUGCUUAGUGCAGUUCCUGCAUUUCACAAUUUAAUUUAAUGACAAAGUAAGACAUUUUCCAUGCCUGUUUUAAUUUGCUCUUAAGAUUUGUAUUACUCUGUUUGCUUCUGUUUGAUAUUGAUGUAUGAGACAGGUUAUAGACCUUUGUGCCCCGGUGUUUUUCAGGUACACACCCUAACAUUCCGUGUAAGGCACACUUGACAUCAGUGAUUGUAGCUUUAGCCAAAAUCUACUCCCAUAACAUUCGUAUACAUUAUGAAUCGUUUUUUUCCCUUUUGUGGAAUGAAAUGGAACAUUUCAAAAUAAUCUCAGCAAGACCUCUGAUGUCUUCAUUUUGCUUUUAAUUGAUUUCUUGGUCCAUGUUGCAGCUUUGUACUUGAGUGUGUAUGAAUGGUGUUGACUUUAAAAACAUAAAGCUCAGUCAGACAAAGGUCAUCAAGGGUGUUAGCUGCUGCAUGUAGGAAAACAAGCCUAGUUUUUUAACUGACAUACUUGUUUUAAUGCUGCAAAUGAAUAAACUACUAAGGCGAAAAAAUAAAGGGUGCACGUUUUUUGCAAAGCCUGUCAUUGGAUAUAUUGAAAAAAGGAAGGAAAAAGAAAGAAAAGUGGGUCAUUGGUCUGACCAAGUUGUAAAAUUGUCACGUGUGUGCAGGUCUGUACAAAAGGCUAUUUGUAAUCUAUAUUGAGAUGUUAAUAUUUAAACAUGCUGAUGUGUGAGGGUCAUAAAGCAGAAAUGUUUGGUUGGUAAUAAAUGCGUUGCCCCUUCACAGCUUUCCAUAAAAAGGGGAAGCUGGUCACAGCUAGCAGAUGAGCUGCCUUUCAACACGGUAAACUUAUCUCUUUCUAUGUUGAACCUUUGCUAAAUUUCUAUUCUUUUAUUGAAAGUUCUUUACACUGUUUAUUUAGAACUUUAUUGUGUCACUCUUUUGUCAGUUGUUGUAUUUAAAAAAUGUCUUUGUUGUUUGAUUUUUUUUAAAGAAAUUAUGUUUUCUUUCAGAAUCUACAGUUAGUUGUGAGGUUUCAGAAUGUACGGUCACAACCAAGGUAAAAACCUUUACUAAAAUAUGGGAGUGAAUAGUCAUGAAGUUAUGAUUUAAAAAACAUUUUAGAUAACUCAUUUUUCCCUUCUCAUUAUGCUAAGGAAACCAGUGUCCAGGUGGCUACCCUGCCAACCCUCAGGUGCCUGGGGGCUACCCCAACAAUCCUCAGAUGUACCCUCCACCUCAGUCAAACUGCCCUCCCAUUCACGGAAACCCUGCAUUUCCCCCUGCUGCACCUGGUCAUGGUCAUGGGCAAUGCCACGGACAUGGUCAUGGCCACGGACAUGAUCAUGGCCACGGACAUGGGCACUCACAUGGCCAUGAACAAUGCCAUGGACACGGACACAAGCAUAAGAAAAAGGACAAGGACAAGGACAAGCACAAACACAAAAAUGGACACAAACAUGGCAAGUGUCACAAGAAAGGAAAAGACACCCAUGGGGUAAGAAUCUAUUUCAAGAGCUUUUGAAUUAUAUGUAAACAUAUCUAAAAAAAAAAUCACAUGUAAAUUUAAAACUCUUGCAUGCAAAUGAAGUCUGAUGCAAAAUACAACCAAAUGUAAAAGAAAGUAUUCAAUGUUUUAAAUAGAUUCUGAACAUCUUGGGGUACAGCAAUGAAAAAUAACUUGAUAUUCCUAGUGUUCCAUUGCAUUUUGACUACCUUUACGUACAGUGAUUUAUCAGCCAAUAUUGUGUUUUGGUUUCAUCCCUCUCUUAUAGUCUUCCAGCAGCUCCUGCAGCAGCAGUGAUUCUGACUAGACUCUCGGACUGAACAGAAGAGGACCAAUGAUGACCAAAAACCCUGGAACCUCUACUGCUCGACAUACUCAACAUAAUGAGCAAAAGUUAUCAUGUUGAUUCUAAAUGCUGAAAAAAUCAGUCAGUUUGUAGUUUUCAAGUCAUGUGAAAAAUAAAAAAUGUUAAUUUUUUAACAACAUAGCAGACAGGACCUUUUCUGAAAACUGACAUACUGAUGUAGAACAAUAAAUAUGUUAUAUAUUGUAUUUUUGAAAUUUCCUCCAUAACUUUAAAAAAAAUAAUAAAAGUGAUUCAUCUGUUCUACAAGAAAAUAGUCUUUUCAUUUGUUUAUUCGGCUUUUCAGUUGCCCAAGUGAGGCUGGCUGAUGUUUGUGUUCCUCCUCUCUGACUUUGGCACACCCUGCUGGCUUUAUUGUUCUUAUCUUCCUUUGGUGGCUUAUGCAGUUAAAAUAUGCUUACAAAUCACUAUGUACAAUAUUUUAUUAUUGCACUGUAAGGGUUUGAUAUUUGCAUAGACUAAUAGAAAUCAGCUAACAAGAUUAAGAAGUAUCUACGAGACUAGUCUGCAUCGUAAGUUGUUUUAAAAUCAAAGCCUGUUGCAUAUUAAAAUAACAACAGAACAUAUUUUUUAAAGAUUGUAAAUUUCGUGUUUUGGUAGUUACAGUCAAAAAAUUUAAGAAGCCAAGUUUUUAAAAAUUACAUUUUCUUCUUUUUACGAUUGGAUCAACGGUUAAAUUAUUUUAGGACAUGGUACUCCCUAAUGGGCCUAUAGGGGGCAGUGUGCGUAAAACUCACAAUGGACGUACAGAUCUCCGGUUCCUCUGUGGUGAGUGCGGUCACCCUACGUCAUCAUGUUCUACCAAUCAGCGAAAGAUUCUGACUCCUGCAGGAAGGAGGCGUAAAAACAAAGUAAAGAGAAAAGUACGCUGUGCAAAGUAUCGCUUGCGU